GGACUUACUGAACACCUCCUUCAGGUCGAGGUAUUCAACGGGCACGUUAGACAAAUCCACUGCCUCCUCUAGAAACACAGAAUCAGACACAGACGAACAAGCAGACACUAAACAGGACUCAAGACACUUGUUACUCCACAUGGAUAUAGAGUUAUGACCCCAGUCAACUCUGGGGUUGUGUUGGGUGAGCCAAGGGUGGCCGAGAACUAAUGGUGCAAGGGGUGAGUCCAUGAGUAGGAAUGAUAGUGUCUCAGUGUGAUUGCCAGAAGUGAUGAGUGUGAUAGGUUCAGUGGUGUGAGAAAUGUUGGGGAGUUCUUGACCAUUGAGAGCGUUGACGGAUAUCUUGUGCGUGAGUGAGGUGAUAGGGAUCUGGAGUUUGUGAGCGAGCUUGAAGUCCAUGAAAUUACCCUCUGCUCCUGAGUCCAGUAAGGCUUGGGUGUCGUGCGUGUGGGUGGCCCAUCUUAGUCUUACCGGGAGGAGAGUAGAUGAUGAGGUCUUCUCUGUGGUGACACCACCCGAUAGUAGCCUCAUGUUUACUACCGGGCCUGAUCUUUUACCGGGCAGGAGUGGAUAAAGUGGCCCGCUCUACCACAGUAGAGACAGAGUCCUUGGGAUCUCCGCCUCUCCCUCUCUUCCCGGGAGAGGCGAGCUCUCCCCAGCUGCAUGGGUUCGUGAGCGGAGGCUGAACUGGCCGUGUUCCCGACGCUGGCAUGCCAGCCCUCCGUGUCGUUAUACGGUCUGUUAGGGCAUGCUCGGCGGCCAAUACGACUCAGACGAGCGUCGACACUCAGGGCUAGUUCCACUAGUCCAUUUAAACUCCUGGGAAGGUCCAGAACAUAAAUCUCCUUCUGGAUCCGGUCCUCCAGCCCAUGCAGGAACAUGUCCCACUGCGCCUCCUCGUUCCACUGACACUCAGCGGCCAGAGUGCGGAAUUGAAUGGAGUAUUCCGAUACUGAAUGGUCUCCUUGGCGAAGGUCAGCGAGUAGUCUGGCCGUCUCCCUACCCGCCACGGCCCGAUCGAAGACCCUUCUCAUCUCCUCGGAGAGUGUCUGGAAAGAGGUGCAGCAUAGGUCCUGGUUCGCCCACACCGCCGUUCCCCAGAGAGACGCUUUGCCUGAUAGCAGUGUGAGUACGAAUGCUACCUUAGACUGUUCACGGUUGAAGGUCCGUGGCUGCAACGAGAAAUGCAUGGAACAUCUCGUAAGAAAGGCUCUGCAAUAGUCAGGAUCACCUGAAUAACCCUCUGGUGUCGGUAGCCGUGGCUCUAGCUGGGAAUCCGGCUCUGGCGGGGCGGGUUGAACUGCCGGUGUAGGUGGCGCAGCGGAACCCCUCAGAUGUUGCAAUUGUUGGGUCAGCUGGGAUACCUGCGUCGAAAGGGCUUGUACUGCCCGACCUGUGCUGGAGAUGUUCUCCUCUUGUUGAUCCAUUCUCGUGAUACUGCGGGAAAGGAAUUCGGUCAGACUCGUUGAACUCGCUGCAUCCAUGGUCUGGUCAGAUCGUUCUGUUACAACACAGAGGCGGAUGCAAGAUGCAAGCAACGAUGGUUUUAAUGAAUGUAGUUCACAGCAGCAACAUGACAGACAGACUGUACUCAGAAGGAAUCCGACCCAGGAACUCGGGCGCAUCUUCCGAUCAUAACGUGCUGAGAAAACCAGGGAGUGUGUCCAGAUGAGUAGGAAGGAGCACAGCAGAUAAUCCACACAAGAGAAGAGCACGGACACACGACACAACCUCAGAGAAGAAACAACGAUCUGACAACAAGAAACACUGGUAACAGAACAUAUAAAGGGAAGAUAAGUGGUUCCAGCUGGCGCAGACAAUCAGGCCGAGAUUGGGAAACCACGCCCACACAAACACUGGAGAGAGAGAGAGAGAGAGAGAGAGAGAGAGAGCGAGAAAGAGAGACGGAGGCAGUGGAUUCAUGAACCGUGACAAAUAUGACCAAACAGUUCUAGGAGACGGAAGAUGAAUAUAUAUGUUGUUUGGGAGAAUUAACUAAAUGCAUAUUCCAUUGUCCUUCUACACUACUGGUGUUAAAUUAACAGUGUGUUUGUGAAGUCAUGAUGUUCUCUUUGUCAGGCUGUCAGGCUGUGGAGUCACAGAGGAAGGCUGUGCUUCUCUGGUCUCAGCUCUGAGGUCAAACCCCUCACACCUGAGAGAGCUGGACCUGAGUAACAAUGACCUGAAGGAUUCAGGAGUGAAGCUGCUCUCUGCUGGACUGGGGAAUCCCCACUGUAAACUGGAGACUCUGUGGCUGUCAGGCUGUCUAGUCACAGAGGAAGGCUGUGCUUCUCUGGUCUCAGCUCUGAGGUCAAACCCCUCACACCUGAGAGAGCUGGACCUGAGCUACAAUCACCCAGGAGACUCAGGAGUCAGACUGCUCUCUGCUGGACUGGAGGAUCCACACUGCAGACUGGAGAAACUCAAUGUGGAACAUGGUGGAGAGAACAGAAUGAAACCUGGACUUAGAAAAUAUGUCUGUGAUCUCACACUGGACCCAAACACAGUAAACAGACGCCUCUCUCUGUCUGAGGAGAACAGAAAGGUGACAUGGAGGAGAGAGGAGCAGCCGUAUCCUGAUCACCCAGAGAGAUUUGAGGUCUGGGGACAGGUGCUGUGUAGAGAGGGUCUGACUGGGCGCUGUUACUGGGAGGUAGAGUGGAGUGGGGGGCUGUUAUAGGAGUGACAUAUAAAGGAAUCAACAGGAGAGGAGGGGGUGAUGACUGUUGGCUUGGACACAAUGACAAGUCCUGGAGUCUGUUCUGCUCUGACAACAGAUACAGAGCCUGUCACAAUAAUAAUCUCACUACCAUAGACGUCCCCUCCUCCAGCCCCCACAGAGUAGGAGUGUAUCUGGACUGGCCAACCGGCACUCUGUCCUUCUAUAGAGCCUCCUCUGACACACUGUCCCACCUGAUCACAUUCACCCCCACAUUCACUGAGCCCCUCUAUCCAGUUAUUAGGGUUUGUUAUGACUCCUCAGUGUCCCUGAAAUAAUAACUUGACACACACACACACACACAGGACACACAUUCUCUCUGUCAGUGAUGCAUGCUGGACAAACACACACGCUGGACACACACACACACUGGACUUGAACACACUGGACUCACACACACACUGGACACACACACACACACACACACACACACACACUGUACAAACAAAUACACACACACACACACGACAAACAAACACACACAAACAGUGGGUACACACACACACACUGGACACACACACACACACAGGACAAACACACACACAGGACAAACACACACACAGGACAAACAGAUACACACACACACACUGGACAAACACACACAUGUGCGUCUUCCUAUAGUUGUGAGGACCUCUUCCAAUAACACCGUUAAAAUUCCAAUGUGAUAAUUUGUUGUCUUUUAUGUUGAAAAACAAAUUGUAUAAUUAUAUAUGGACAUACGCUCCAUAGUUGUACAAGUAUACAAGGAUAUAUUGUACUUUUCAUAAUAAAACAUACUUGAAACAAGAAAA